UACGUAGGGGGCUAGCGUUGUCCGGAAUCAUUGGGCGUAAAGCGCGUGUAGGCGGCCCGGUAAGUCCGCUGUGAAAGUCGGGGGCUCAACCCUCGGAUGCCGGUGGAGUACUGUCGGGCUCGAGUACGGAAGAGGCGAGUGGAAUUCCUGGUGUAGCGGUGAAAUGCGCAGAUAUCAGGAGGAACACCAAUUGCGAAGGCAGCUCGCUGGGACGUUACUGACGCUGAGACGCGAAGCGUGGGGAGCAAACGGGAU
rnacentral:rRNA from 1 species